GUGUCAGCCGCCGCGGUAAUACGUAGGUGGCUAGCGUUACCCGGAUUUAUUGGGCGUAAAGAGGGCGCAGGCGGCUUUUCAAGUCGGAUGUGAAAUUUUCCAGCUUAACUGGGAAAGGCCAUUCGAUACUGUUAAGCUAGAGGACAACAGAGGGAGGUGGAAUUCCCGGUGUAGUGGUGAAAUGCGUAGAUAUCGGGAGGAACACCAGUGGCGAAGGCGGCCUCCUGGGUUGUUACUGACGCUUAAGCCCGAAGGCGUGGGGAGCAAACAGGAUCAGAUACCCUGGUAGUCCACGCGGUAAACGAUGGACACUGGGUAUAGGGAGUAUCGACUCUCUCUGUGCCGAAGCUAACGCGUUAAGUGUCCCGUCUGGGAAGUACGGCCGCAAGGCUAAAACUCAAAUGAAUUGACGGGG
rnacentral:rRNA from 1 species